rnacentral:rRNA from 1 species
GACGAACGCUGGCGGCGUGCUUAACACAUGCAAGUCGAACGGUGAAGCGCUUUCCUUUUUGGUUGGUGUGGAUGAGUGGCGAACGGGUGAGUAACACGUGAGUAACCUGCCCCCUUCUUCUGGAUAACCGCAUGAAAGUGUGGCUAAUACGGGAUAUUCUGCGCCUGCUGCAUGGUGGGUGUGGGAAAGAUUGUGCCUUUGGGUGUUUUCGUUGGGGGAUGGGCUCGCGGCCUAUCAGCUUGUUGGUGGGGUGAUGGCCUACCAAGGCGGUGACGGGUAGCCGGGCUGAGAGGGUGGACGGUCACACUGGGACUGAGACACGGCCCAGACACCUACGGGAGGCAGCAGUGGGGAAUAUUGCACAAUGGGCGCAAGCCUGAUGCAGCGACGCCGCGUGAGGGAGGGAGGCCUUCGGGUUGUGAACCUCUUUCGCCAGUGAAGCAGGCCUGCUCCUUGUGGGUGGGUUGACGGUAGCUGGAUAAGAAGCGCCGGCUAACUACGUG